AACGUAGGAAGCGAGCGUUAUCCGGAUUUACUGGGCGUAAAGCGCAUGCAGGCGGUUUGGAAAGUUGGAUGUGAAAGCUCCUGGCUUAACUGGGAGAGGUCGUUCAAUACUUCCAGACUAGAGGAUGUGAGAGGAAAGUGGAAUUCCGAGUGUAGUGGUGAAAUGCGUAGAUAUUCGGAGGAACACCAGUGGCGAAAGCGGCUUUCUAGCACAUAUCUGACGCUCAUAUGCGAAAGCUAGGGUAGCAAACGGG
rnacentral:rRNA from 1 species